rnacentral:ncRNA from 1 species
AGCCUUAUAUUUUAGAUAUAAGGGUCGGAGAUUGCUGUCAACUGUGACUCGAAUAAUUCUAUCCAGAAUAUCGAA